UCGGAAUGGGAUCUCCCCAGCGAACUCACCUCUUGCCUUUUACCAGAUGUGACCGUGGGACGACCCAAUAAAUUCCAUUCCACCAAUCUUUGGCACUUCUCAUCUGGAGC
rnacentral:snRNA from 1 species